UACAGAGGUCUCAAGCGUUGUUCGGAUUCAUUGGGCGUAAAGGGUGUGUAGGUGGCGUCGUAAGUCGGGUGUGAAAUUUCGGAGCUUAACUCCGAAACUGCAUUCGAUACUGCGGUGCUUGAGGACUGGAGAGGAGACUGGAAUUUACGGUGUAGCAGUGAAAUGCGUAGAUAUCGUAAGGAAGACCAGUGGCGAAGGCGGGUCUCUGGACAGUUCCUGACACUGAGACACGAAGGCCAGGGGAGCAAACGGG
rnacentral:rRNA from 1 species